GGCCCAAUGGUCUAGAGGUAAGAUACUUGCUUUGGGUUUGCUAAGCGCUUAAUCGCGUCACGUGCAAGGGAUCCCGGGUUCGAAUCCCGGUUGGGGCC